GUUUUAAUAAUUUAAUAAAAAUAUUAAUUUUGUAAAUUAAAAUUAGGGUAAACCUUUAAAACU
rnacentral:tRNA from 1 species